GUUUAACGAGGUGCACCUGGCCUCAGUGCUUAAAGCCCGAUGCAGACUUCUGGAGGGGAGAGGCUUUUAGAUCGGUGACUGCUGUGUGGUGCCUCUCAGGCAGCCUGUGUUGUUGUGAUUUAUUAAAAGGGAGAGGCCAGGAGGACUUUGAACCAUGCUCAACAGGUACAGUAUGGGUCGUAAUCGCUUCGGGUAGAUUAAUGCCCGAGAUGGAACCCCCCCGCUUUGAGUCUCCCUUUUGCCCGAUCUCCGAUCAACCUCCCAGACCAGCCUUAAAGACGACGGCCAUCUCUCACCUACACCCCUCUCAUACACACACAUACAUACAGUAUACUGUCUCAAUAUACCAUACAAAUUCACAUGAAAUGUUUAAACGUUA